CCAGAGAACUUUCCAGAGAUGGAUUGGUGCCUUCGGGAACUCUGAGACAGGUGCUGCAUGGCUGUCGUCAGCUCGUGUUGUGAAAUGUUGGGUUAAGUCCCGCAACGAGCGCAACCCUUAUCCUUUGUUGCCAGCGGUUAGGCCGGGAACUCAAAGGAGACUGCCAGUGAUAAACUGGAGGAAGGUGGGGAUGACGUCAAGUCAUCAUGGCCCUUACGAGUAGGGCUACACACGUGCUACAAUGGCGCAUACAAAGAGAAGCGACCUCGCGAGAGCAAGCGGACCUCAUAAAGUGCGUCGUAGUCCGGAUUGGAGUCUGCAACUCGACUCCAUGAAGUCGGAAUCGCUAGUAAUCGUGGAUCAGAAUGCCACGGUGAAUACGUUCCCGGGCCUUGUACACACCGCCCGUCACACCAUGGGAGUGGGUUGCAAAAGAAGUAGGUAGCUUAACCUUCGGGAGGGCGCUUACCACUUUGUGAUUCAUGACUGGGGUGAAGUCGUAACAAGGUAAGCGUAGUGCU
rnacentral:rRNA from 1 species